UCAGUCCCUAUCCAAGUUUUAAGCCGCAACCGAGACCCGACCCAUACCUUAGAUCACAUCACAUAACAGAAAAACCCUAGUCUAAAACCCACCGUUUCUCUUCUUGUUUGGAUUUUGAAGAAGACAAUUUUUUUUUUAAAGAAGAAAUCUUUGUUUCUUCUCUCAAAACUCAAAACUCUCCUUUCUGCAUCUCUGAUUGUUGAACCAUGAAGAGCAAGAAUGAGAAGAAGAGAGGCUCAUCGGCCCCAAAAGGAGGCCCAAAGGGAAACAAAUUUUCGAUCAACAAUGACCCGUUUUUCGAAACGGAGAGCAAGAAGCGGCGGAAAAUGGAGUACGAGGAUGAUGACAUUGAUUCAGGGGACUCUGAAGAGGAGGCAGAGAUUCUGGGGGGUUCUGACGCAAGCGGGGGAGAGGAGAUGGUUGAGGAGGAUGAGGAGACCCCUGGUGAGAUCCGAAAAAGGGUGGCAACGGAGCUUUUGGAUAAGAUGCGGGCAAUAGCAAGAAAAGAGAAAGAAGACAAGGAUGGGGAUGAGGAAGAUGAAGAGGAAGAGGCGAGGGAUUCCUUUGUGGCUAAGAUUUUACAGCAGCAGCAGCUCGAGGAGAGUGGCAGGGUUAGGCGAGUCGUUGCUUCCAGGCUUAAAAAAGCAGAAACUGUUGAUGGGUUUAAAGUUUUAGUGAAGCAUAGACAAUCUGUUACUGCUGUAGCUCUCUCUGAUGAUGACUCGAAGGGCUUUUCGGCAUCCAAAGACGGUACUAUUUUACAGUGGGAUGUAGAAAGUGGGAAAACUGAAAAGUAUAAAUGGCCUAGUGAAGAUAUUCUUAAAAGUCACGGGGCGAAGGAUCCACGUGGUCGACUUAAAAAGCAUAGUAAAAGUGUUUUUGCGUUGGCUGUUAGUUCUGAUGGCCGGUAUUUGGCUAGUGGAGGCAUGGACCGCCAUGUACAUCUGUGGGAUAAUCGUACAAGAAAGCACGAAAUGGCAUUCCCAGGUCAUCAAAAACCUGUAUCAUGUUUAAGUUUUAGGCAAGGAACUGCAGAUCUUUUUUCUGGAUCAUUUGAUCGAACCGUGAAGUAUUGGAAUAUGGAAGAACAAACUCACAUUGACACAAUAUGUGGUCAUGAAAGUGAGGUGUUGACACUUGAUUGCCUAAGGAAAGAACGAGUAUUGACUGUUGGACGUGAUCGGUUUAUGAUGUUGUUUAAGGUUCUCGACCAGUCACGCUUGGUUUUUCGUCCUCCACCAGUAUCUUUGGAAUGCUGUUGCUUUAUUAACAAUGAUGAAUUCUUAUCUGGCUCGGAUGAUGGAGGUAUUGAACUUUGGAGUGUGUUAAGAAAGAAACCUGUAUACAUUGUGAAGAAUGCUCAUACUCAGCUGCCUGCCUGCCAGAAUGUUGAACAAAAAGGCACUGGAAAAAUCCCUGAUAGCCUUCUAGAAAAUGGUGAUCACAAAAUUGAGGGCUAUAAUUGUUCAUCAGCAUAUUCCUGGGUCAGUUCAAUCACUGUAUGUAGAGGCAGUGACCUUGCUGCAUCAGGAGCUGGUAAUGGUUGCGUUCGAUUAUGGGCCAUUGAGACUGGGAGAAAAGACAUACAGCCCUUAUAUGACAUUCCAUUGGUGGGAUUUGUUAAUUCCCUGGCUUUUGCGAAAUCGGGACAGUUCCUAGUUGCUGGAGUUGGGCAGGAACCACGCUUAGGAAGAUGGGGACGCCUUCCGGCUGCACGGAAUGGAGUUGCAAUUCAGCCGUUGAAGCUCUUGUAAGGAGGACAAGGUUUUGUUCCUCUUCAGUUUUGACUAUCAUUAGCUGAGAAAUUCGGGUUAUGUAUUUGGAAACCUCUGCUUUUAUUCCAUGCUUUGGUUGGUAUUCAAGUGGUCUACUGGGAAGGGAAUGACAUUUACCUAAUGGAAAAGGACUGGUGUUGUUGCAGUGAUGGCUUCAGCUUAUAAGGCAAUACCAGAUAGACAGACAGAAAGAGCCCAACGGUUAGCCAGCCAUUCAGCCUAUAAGGCAAUACCAGAUACGCUGUAACCAAUUCUCUAUAAUCUCUUUCUCGUGUGAAAUGUCAGUCUUAUUAAUGCAAACUGCAAGCACUUUGUACCUUCUUCUGCCCAUGAACACGAUACUACAAGAGAGGUUUUUUCCCAGGUAGUGGGCUGUGGGAACAAAUAUCAUAGGAGAGCAUGGUCUGAGAAGGACUUUGUUUACUUGUAGGUGCUGAGCUGCAGUGAAGAAUAGAUGAGGUUCUAAACUCUAAAAUGGGCCUUAGUAUUGGACUUCUUUUUUUUUUUAUCUGAAGUCAUAUUAAUGUUAAUAUUUUUUUAUAAUCAUAUAUGUCUGGAAGAAUAAAUGUUUGAAGUGUUAAAAUAAGCUUUUGGAUGAAAAACAUAAAGAGGAGUCAGUUGCUCUUUGACGAGAGUUGAUUGCUUGAUGUCAAAAUGCAUUUUAUUAAGAAUUUGGCCUUUGGCAGCCCAAAAUUAUUUUUCCUCCUGUUUGAAAAUAUAACUAGUGAAGUUGACAAUCCAUUUCGGGCAUUCGAUUGUUCUUCUUGAAAAUUUGAAAUAUAUGUUCGCUAGACAUGGUGUUUCAUCCUAGUUAUAAACAAAUAAUAUA